GCUGAAACACUCAUUCCCAUACAACCCCCAAAGUUAAGCAACAUUGAGCAUGGUCAGUACCUAGAUGGGUGACCACUUUGGAAUGCCAGGUGUUGUAAG